rnacentral:rRNA from 1 species
CGAACGUUGGCGGCGUGGAUUAGGCAUGCAAGUCGAGCGAGAAAGCCACCUUCGGGUGGUGAGUAGAGCGGCGAACGGGUGAGUAACGCGUGGGGAACCUGCCCUCAGGUGGGGAAUAACAUCCCUAACGGGGUGCUAAUACCGCAUGACAUGGCUGGAUCGCAUGUUCCAGCCAUCAAAGAUGGCCUCUGUUUCAAGCUGUCGCCAGAGGAUGGUCCCGCGUCCGAUUAGCUUGUUGGUGGGGUAACGGCUCACCAAGGCGACGAUCGGUAGCUGGUCUGAGAGGAUGGUCAGCCACACUGGGACUGAGAUACGGCCCAGACUCCUACGGGAGGCAGCAGUCGAGAGGCUUCGGCAAUGGGGGAAACCCUGACCGAGCGACGCCGCGUGGAGGAAGAAGGCUUUCGGGUCGUAAACUCCUUUCAGUGGGGACGAACCAUCAUCGGGGUAACACCCCGGUGGUCUGACGGUACCUACAGAAGAAGCGCCGGCUAACUCCGUG